UACGGAGGGUGCGAGCGUUAAUCGGAAUUACUGGGCGUAAAGCGCACGCAGGCGGUUUGUUAAGCUAGAUGUGAAAGCCCCGGGCUCAACCUGGGAUGGUCAUUUAGAAUUGGCAGACUAGAGUCUUGGAGAGGGGAGUGGAAUUCCAGGUGUAGCGGUGAAAUGCGUAGAUAUCAGGAGGAACAUCAGUGGCGAAGGCGACUCCCUGGCCAAAGACUGACGCUCAUGUGCGAAAGUGUGGGUAGCGAACAGG
rnacentral:rRNA from 1 species